AACGCUAGCUACAGGCUUAACACAUGCAAGUCGAGGGGCAGCAUGUUGGUUGCUUGCAACCAAUGAUGGCGACCGGCGCACGGGUGAGUAACGCGUAUCCAACCUUCCCCUUACUCGGGUCCAGCCCGUUGAAAGACGGAUUAAUCCCCGAUGCUCUCAUAUACUGGCAUCAGUUUAUGAGCAAAGAUUUAUCGGUAAGGGAUGGGGAUGCGUAUGAUUAGCUUGUUGGUGUGGUAACGGCUCACCAAGGCUACGAUCAUUAGGGGUUCUGAGAGGAAGGUCCCCCACACUGGAACUGAGACACGGUCCAGACUCCUACGGGAGGCAGCAGUGAGGAAUAUUGGUCAAUGGAGGCAACUCUGAACCAGCCAAGUAGCGUGCAGGAUGACGGCCCUAUGGGUUGUAAACUGCUUUUAUGCGGGGAUAAACGAGCCUACAUGUAGAUUUUUGCAGGUACCGCAUGAAUAAGGACCGGCUAAUUCCGUGCCAGCAGCCGCGGUAAUACGGAAGGUCCGGGCGUUAUCCGGAUUUAUUGGGUUUAAAGGGAGCGUAGGCGGCCUGUUAAGCGUGUUGUGAAAUGUGGGUGCUCAACAUCUGCACUGCAGCGCGAACUGGCGGGCUUGAGUGGGCUGAAAGUAUGCGGAAUUCGUGGUGUAGCGGUGAAAUGCUUAGAUAUCACGAAGAACUCCGAUUG
rnacentral:rRNA from 1 species